rnacentral:lncRNA from 1 species
GUCCUCCGUGGCGAGCUGGAGGGAAGCGCUCUCAGCAGAGAGGGUCGCCCUCACCAAGAAGCCAAAGGGAAGAGGACAGAAUCUUUCUUGUAGGGACGCCCUUGGUCUUCAGAAGGAACACUUUUUCUGUUUCACAGAGAUCUGUGGAAUGUGUGGGUUCCCUGAAGAGGUGGACGGACCCCCGGGGUCGCGCGUUUUCUCAGCCCUGGGCCCGUAGCGGAGCUCGAUCCUUCCAGAGCUCAGGGCCAGAAAUGUUGCGAUUCCGAACACUUUCCCUUUCUUCUGAGAGGAGCCGCCCGGCAGACGCUCAUCAUUAAGAAGCAAGGUAAUUAACAACGAAUGUUUCCCCUUGGCGCUAAUGCGAACACCCUGGGGAACUGCCAAGUCUGGGCGAGGGCGAGUGGAACAGAGGUCGGAGACCUUGCUAAGCUGCUGGCCUUUUCACGUUUCGGACCCUGAGAUAUGUCCACCGCAUUACAAAUGGGAUUCUCUGGCAUC